UACGGAGGAUCCAAGCGUUAUCCGGAAUCAUUGGGUUUAAAGGGUCCGUAGGCGGUUUAUUAAGUCAGUGGUGAAAGCCCAUCGCUCAACGAUGGAACGGCCAUUGAUACUGAUAGACUUGAAUUAUUGGGAAGUAACUAGAAUAUGUAGUGUAGCGGUGAAAUGCUUAGAUAUUACAUGGAAUACCAAUUGCGAAGGCAGGUUACUACCAAUAUAUUGACGCUGAUGGACGAAAGCGUGGGGAGCGAACAGG
rnacentral:rRNA from 1 species